AGCAGGGGGAGGCCACUGUGUCAUGGUCAGCAGGGGAAGGCCACUGUGUCAUGGUCAACAGGGGGAGGCCAUUGUGACAGGGAAAAGCUCAAUGGAAGAAGACAGAGAAGGAAGAUCUCUCAGAGUUUGCAGCUUGCAAAAUGCUCAUUUGCCGAUUUGAGAACCACGGAGCUAUCACUCACUGAUGACACAGGAGGAGAUAUGCAGACCCCUUCUGAGGAAAACACAAGGGAAACAGUAAAGGCAGCAUGCCCAAGUGCUAAAGAGCUUUCCACAAAAUUCGACAGUAGGUGGUC